rnacentral:rRNA from 1 species
GCAUUUGAUCAUGGCUCAGGACGAACGCUGGCGGCGUGCCUAAUACAUGCAAGUCGAGCGGACAGAUGGGAGCUUGCUCCCUGAUGUUAGCGGCGGACGGGUGAGUAACACGUGGGUAACCUGCCUGUAAGACUGGGAUAACUCCGGGAAACCGGGGCUAAUACCGGAUGGUUGUUUGAACCGCAUGGUUCAAACAUAAAAGGUGGCUUCGGCUACCACUUACAGAUGGACCCGCGGCGCAUUAGCUAGUUGGUGAGGUAACGGCUCACCAAGGCGACGAUGCGUAGCCGACCUGAGAGGGUGAUCGGCCACACUGGGACUGAGACACGGCCCAGACUCCUACGGGAGGCAGCAGUAGGGAAUCUUCCGCAAUGGACGAAAGUCUGACGGAGCAACGCCGCGUGAGUGAUGAAGGUUUUCGGAUCGUAAAGCUCUGUUGUUAGGGAAGAACAAGUACCGUUCGAAUAGGGCGGUACCUUGACGGUACCUAACCAGAAAGCCACGGCUAACUACGUGCCAGCAGCCGCGGUAAUACGUAGGUGGCAAGCGUUGUCCGGAAUUAUUGGGCGUAAAGGGCUCGCAGGCGGUUUCUUAAGUCUGAUGUGAAAGCCCCCGGCUCAACCGGGGAGGGUCAUUGGAAACUGGGGAACUUGAGUGCAGAAGAGGAGAGUGGAAUUCCACGUGUAGCGGUGAAAUGCGUAGAGAUGUGGAGGAACACCAGUGGCGAAGGCGACUCUCUGGUCUGUAACUGACGCUGAGGAGCGAAAGCGUGGGGAGCGAACAGGAUUAGAUACCCUGGUAGUCCACGCCGUAAACGAUGAGUGCUAAGUGUUAGGGGGUUUCCGCCCCUUAGUGCUGCAGCUAACGCAUUAAGCACUCCGCCUGGGGAGUACGGUCGCAUGUCAAAUUG